AGCGAACGCUGGCGGCAGGCUUAACACAUGCAAGUCGAGCGGGGGAGGUUGCUUCGGUAACUGACCUAGCGGCGGACGGGUGAGUAAUGCUUAGGAAUCUGCCUAUUAGUGGGGGACAACAUCUCGAAAGGGAUGCUAAUACCGCAUACGUCCUACGGGAGAAAGCAGGGGACCUUCGGGCCUUGCGCUAAUAGAUGAGCCUAAGUCGGAUUAGCUAGUUGGUGGGGUAAAGGCCUACCAAGGCGACGAUCUGUAGCGGGUCUGAGAGGAUGAUCCGCCACACUGGGACUGGGACACGGCCCAGACUCCUACGGGAGGCAGCAGUGGGGAAUAUUGGACAAUGGGGGGAACCCUGAUCCAGCCAUGCCGCGUGUGUGAAGAAGGCCUUUUGGUUGUAAAGCACUUUAAGCGAGGAGGAGGCUACUGGUAUUAAUACUACCGGAUAGUGGACGUUACUCGCAGAAUAAGCACCGGCUAACUCUGUGCCAGCCGCCGCGGUAAGAC
rnacentral:rRNA from 1 species